rnacentral:rRNA from 1 species
CAGCCGCCACGGUAAUACGUAGGGUGCAAGCGUUAAUCGGAAUUACUGGGCGUAAAGCGUGCGCAGGCGGUUAUAUAAGUCAGAUGUGAAAUCCCCGGGCUCAACCUGGGAACUGCAUUUGAGGCUGUAUGGCUAGAGUGUGUCAGAGGGGGGUAGAAUUCCACGUGUAGCAGUGAAAUGCGUAGAGAUGUGGAGGAAUACCGAUGGCGAAGGCAGCCCCCUGGGCCAAUACUGACGCCCAUGCACGAAAGCGUGGGGAGCAAACAGGAUUAGAUACCCCCGUAGUCCCUGUCUCUUAUAC